AUUGAACGCUGGCGGCAGGCCUAACACAUGCAAGUCGAACGGUAACAGGGAUCAGCUUGCUGAUUCGCUGACGAGUGGCGGACGGGUGAGUAAUGUCUGGGAAACUGCCUGAUGGAGGGGGAUAACUACUGGAAACGGUAGCUAAUACCGCAUAACGUCGCAAGACCAAAGAGGGGGACCUUCGGGCCUCUUGCCAUCGGAUGUGCCCAGAUGGGAUUAGCUAGUAGGUGGGGUAACGGCUCACCUAGGCGACGAUCCUAGCUGGUCUGAGAGGAUGACCAGCCACACGGGAACUGAGACACGGUCCAGACUCCUACGGGAGGCAGCAGUGGGGAAUAUUGCGCAAUGGGCGCAAGCCUGAUGCAGCCAGGCCGCGUGUAUGAAGAAGGCCUUCGGGUUGUAAAGUACUUUCAGCGGGGAGGAAGGGAGUAAAGUUAAUACCUUUGCUCAUUGACGUUACCCGCAGAAGAAGCACCGGCUAACUCCGUG
rnacentral:rRNA from 1 species